rnacentral:rRNA from 1 species
GCCCGCUCAGAAACUCAAAGGAAGUUCGACGGGGGCCCGCACAAGCGGUGGAGCAUGUGGUUAAUUCGAUGCAACGCGAAGAACCUUACCUGGUCUUGACAUCCCGGAGACCCUUAGGAAACUAGGGGGUGCUUCCAUCUGGAAGAAUCUGGAGACAGGUGCUGCAUGGCUGUCGUCAGCUCGUGUCGUGAGAUGUUGGGUUAAGUCCCGCAACGAGCGCAACCCUUGCCUUUAGUUGCCAGCAGUUCGGCUGGGCACUCUAAAGGGACUGCCGGUGUUAAACCGGAGGAAGGUGGGGAUGACGUCAAGUCCUCAUGGCCUUUAUGACCAGGGCUACACACGUACUACAAUGGCCGAUACAAAGGGCAGCGACACUGCGAGGUGAAGCCAAUCCCGUAAAAUCGGUCUCAGUCCGGAUUGGAGUCUGCAACUCGACUCCAUGAAGUUGGAAUCGCUAGUAAUCGUGGAUCAGCAUGCCACGGUGAAUACGUUCCCGGGCCUU